AGUUGAUUUUGUACCCUGCAACUUUGCUGUAGUUGUUGAUUAUUUCUAAUAGUUUUCUGGUGGAUUCUUCAGGGUUUUCCAUAUAUAAAAUCAUGUCAUCUGCAAAUAGCAAGAGUUUCACUUCUUCAUUGCAAAUUUAGAUACCCUUUAUUUCUUUUUCUUGCCUAAUUGCUCUGUCCAAAACCUCCAGUAAUAUGUGGAAGAAGAGUGGUGAGAAUGGGCACACUUGUCUUGUUCCUCUUAUCAAAGAGAUGAGUUUCAGUUUUUCCCCAUUGAGUAUGAUGUUGGCUGUUGGUUUGUCAUAUAUAGCCUUUGUUAUGUUGAGGUACUUUCCUUCUAUGCCCAUUUUAUUGAGAGUUUUUAUCAUAAAUGGAUGUUGGAUCUGGUCAAAUGCUUCCUCUGCUUCUAUUGAGAUCAAUGUGUGGUUUUUAUUCCUCAUUUUGUUAACACAGUGUGUCACAUUGAUUGAUUUGCAGAUGUUGAACCAUCCCUGAGUCCUUGGUAUAAAUCCCACUUGAACAUGAUGUAUGAUCCUUUUAAUGUAUAGCUGUAUCCAGUUUGCCAAUAUUUUGUUGAGGAUUUUGCAUCUAUGUUCAUCAGAGAUAUUGGCCUGUAAUUAUCCAUCCCUUCACUCUGAACCUGUUUCUCUUUAGAGGUAAGAUGUGUUUCCUGGAGGCAGGAUAUUGUUGCAUCUUGUUUUUUAAUCCACUCCACCACUCUGAGUCUUUUGAGUAGAGAAUCUGAUCUAUUUACAUUUAGAGUGAUUAUUGAUACAUGAGGGCUUAAUGCUCACAUUUUAUCACUUGUUUUCCAGCCAAUGUAUUUCAGACUGACAAUUCACUUUAGUAGUUCUCUAUGACAGUUUUCUCAGUUUUCUCUUUAUCAUUUGUGUCUCUGUUCUGAUUAUUUGUUUAGUGGUUACCAUGAAGUUUGUAUAAAAAAUCUCAUAGAUGAGGUAGUCCGUUUUCUGAUAGCCUCGUAUUUCCCUAGUCUAAGCACCUUCUAUCCCCCUCCUGUUCCCCUUCUAAGUUAUUGUCGCAAUGUAUUCCAUUUUGUAUUGUGAGUUUGUGGUUAAAAUGACAAGAUUAUAGUUAUUUUUGAUGUUUUCCUUCCCUUUAUCUUUAAUGUUUUAAUUGUUUGCUAACCUGUUCUGAUAGAGAGCUGCAAUUUUCUGAUUUUUGUCUGCCUAUUUAUCUCCUUGCUCAAGGCUUUGUAAACCUUUUCUUUUUUUUUUCAGAUAUGAGGAUCUUCUUGAUCAGUUUGUGUAGGGAGAUCUUGUGAUAACGACCUCCCUCAGCUUUUGUUUAUCUGGGAAAGAUAUUAUUUCUCCAUCAUAUCUGAAGGAUAUUUUCGCUGGAUAGAGUAUUCUUGGCUGAAAGUUUUUGUGUUCCAAAGAUUUGAAUAUAUCAUUCAACUCUCUCCUAGUAUGUGAGGUCUGCUGAGAAAUCUGCUGAAAUCCUGAUAGGAGUUCCUUUGUAAGAUAUUUUCUUCUGCCUUGCUGCCCUUAAUGUUUUUUCUUUGUCAUUGACUUUUGCCAGUUUUACUACCUUAUGCUUGGAGAGGUCUUUUUACAUUAAUGUAGUUAGGAGUUCUAUUAGCUUAUUUUACCUGUAAUUCCAACUUCUUUCUCAGGUUUGGGAAGUUCUCAGCUAUUAUUUCUUUGCACAAGCUGUCUUCUCCUUUCUCCCUCCCUUCUUCCUCUGGAAUACCUAUAAUCCUUAUGUUGCCUUUCUUAAUAGAGUCAGAUAUUUCUCAGAGAAUUCCUUCAUUUCUUUUUAGUCUUAGUACUCUCUCCUCCUCCAUCUGAAGCAUUUCUAUAUUUCUCUCCUCCAAACUGCUAAUUCUGUCCUCCAUAAUAUCAGCUCCAUUAUUCAAGGACUCCAGAUUUUUCUUUACUUCAUUGUGUUUUUCAUCUCCAACAUUUUCGAUUGGUUUUUCUUUAUUGUUUCAAUCUCUUUUGUGAAGAAUUCCCUCUGUUUGUUAAUUUUAUUCAUGAUCUCAUUGAAUUGUCUUUCUGGAUUUUCUUGUAACUUAUUGAGUUUUUUUGUGAUAGCUGUUUUGAAUUGUCUGUCAUUUAGAUUGUAAAUUUCUGUACCUGCUUAUAAUUUUCCUUCUGGUCUGGAGUAUUAAUAUACCUCCUCAUAUUAUUUGAUGGGAAGGAUUUGUGCCUUCACAUAUUGGUAGUAUCUGGUCACAGGUUCCACCUGCUGCCACUGGAGGGAGGGGGCAGGAGUUCUGUAUUCUGAGCUCACUGCAUUCUCUGGUGUCUGUGGCUGUCCUUUGUAAUCUAUGCUGAUAGGGCCCAUCUGUGAUUGUCCGCUCACAGCUGCUGCUUUACUAACGUAUGUGCAGGUGCUCUUGUAGGGGUUUCUUGCUCUGGCUGGCUGGCUAAGCUGGUGCUCCAGGCAGCAGAAGGGCACUUUCUUUCUCAUGUGCAAUCCCAGGGGCGUCCUCACUCUGUCCUCGCUAUCUGCUCUCCUGGGGUCCUGGCUUGAUGAAGACACCCCUGCAAUAGCUUUGCCUCCUUUGUGUGGAGCU
rnacentral:lncRNA from 1 species